UACGUAGGGACCAAGCGUUGUUCGGAUUUACUGGGCGUAAAUGGCGCGUAGGCGGCAAUUCCAGUCAGCUGUGAAAUCUCCGGGCUUAACUCGGAACGGUCAGCUGAUACUGCUUUGCUAGAGUGCAGAAGGGGCAAUCGGAAUUCUUGGUGUAGCGGUGAAAUGCGUAGAUAUCAAGAGGAACACCUGAGGUGAAGACGGGUUGCUGGGCUGACACUGACGCUGAGGCGCGAAAGCUAGGGUAGCAAACGGG
rnacentral:rRNA from 1 species